AACGAACGCUGGCGGCAGGCUUAAUACAUGCAAGUCGAACGCCCCUUUCGGGGGGAGUGGCAGACGGGUGAGUAACGCGUGGGAACGUGCCCAAAGGUAGGGAACAACUCCGGGAAACUGGAGCUAAUACCCUAUGUGCCCGAGAGGGGAAAGAUUUAUCGCCUUUGGAUCGGCCCGCGUUGGAUUAGCUAGUUGGUGGGGUAAAAGCCUACCAAGGCGACGAUCCAUAGCUGUUCUGAGAGGAAGAUCAGCCACACUGGGACUGAGACACGGCCCAGACUCCUACGGGAGGCAGCAGUAGGGAAUCUUGGACGAUGGACGCAAGCCUGAUCCAGCCAUGCCGCGUGAGCGAUGAAGGCCUUAGGGUUGUAAAACUCUUUCGCAGGUGACGAUAAUGACGGUAACCUGAGAAGAAGCCCCGGCUAACUUCGUGCCAGCCGCCGCAGUAA
rnacentral:rRNA from 1 species